rnacentral:ncRNA from 1 species
ACAGUGCCCCGUUUUUUGGGGAUAAUAGGGAAUCAGGUGAGAAUCCUGAGCUAUCCGGUAACUGUAAGCGGAGAGCGAACCACAAUAUGCCAUUGCGCAAGCGAGAAGGCGUGGCCAGCGAUGAACCGUAAGUCAGGAAACCUGCUGUGUAUGUUG